CCUACGGGUGGCAGCAGUGGGGAAUAUUGCGCAAUGGGGGAAACCCUGACGCAGCAACGCCGCGUGAGUGAAGACGUAUCUCGGUAUGUAAAGCUCUAUCAGCGGGGAAGAAGGAAGACGGUACCCGACUAAGAAGCCCCGGCUAACUACGUGCCAGCAGCCGCGGUAAUACGUAGGGGGCUAGCGUUAUCCGGAUUUACUGGGUGUAAAGGUAGAGUAGACGGCGUCGCAAGUCUGAAGUGAAAGCCCGUGGCUCAACCGCGGAACCGCUUUGGAAACUGCGAGGCUUGAGUGCUGGAGAGGUAAGCGGAAUGCCUGGGGUAGCGGUGAAAUGCGUAGAUAGCAGGAGGAACACCGGUGGCGAAGGCGGCUUACUGGACAGUGACUGACGUUGAGGCUCGAAAGCGUGGGGAGCGAACAGGAUUAGAUACCCGGGUAGUC
rnacentral:rRNA from 1 species